UACGUAGGGCGCAAGCGUUGUCCGGAAUCAUUGGGCGUAAAGAGCUCGUAGGCGGCCUGUCGCGUCUGCUGUGAAAUCCCGGGGCUCAACCCCGGGCGUGCAGUGGAUACGGGCUGGCUAGAGGCAGGCAGGGGAGAACGGAAUUCCCGGUGUAGCGGUGAAAUGCGCAGAUAUCGGGAAGAACACCCGUGGCGAAGGCGGCUCUCUGGGACGGUACUGACGCUGAGACGCGAAAGCGUGGGGAGCGAACAGG
rnacentral:rRNA from 1 species